UGGGGAAUAUUGCGCAAUGGGGGAAACCCUGACGCAGCGACGCCGUGUGAGGGAAGAAGGCUUUCGGGUCGUAAACCACUGUCAGGAAGGAAGAACCUCUCAAGGCUGAACAAGCCUUGGGACUGACGGUACUUCCAGAGGAAGCACCGGCUAACUACGUGCCAGCAGCCGCGGUAAAACGUAGGACGCAAGCGUUAUCCGGAAUUACUGGGCGUAAAGGGCGUGCAGGCGGUUCCUUAAGUUAGGCGUGAAAGCUCCGGGCUAAACCUGGGGAGGUCGUCUGNUACUGGGGGACUAGAGUGUGGUAGAGGGGUGUAGAAUUCCGGGUGUAGUGGUGAAAUGCGUAGAUAUCCGGAGGAAUACCAGUGGCGAAGGCGGCACCCUGGGCCACAACUGACGCUAAGACGCGAAAGCAUGGGUAGCGAACG
rnacentral:rRNA from 1 species